rnacentral:tRNA from 1 species
GAAGGUAUAGCUCAGUGGUAGAACGCAUGUUUGGCAUGCAUGGGGUCCUGGGUUCAAUCCCCAGUUCCUCCA